CGCGUAGGUUGUUUUGUAAGUCAGAGGUGUAAUCCCACGGCUUAACCGUGGAACUGCCUUUGAUACUGCAUAACUUGGAUCCGGGAGAGGACAGCGGAAUUCCAGGUGUAGGAGUGAAAUCCGUAGAUAUCUGGAAGAACAUCAGUGGCGAAGACGGCUGUCUGGACCGGUAUUGACGCUGAGGCGCGAAAGCGUGGGUAGCAAACA
rnacentral:rRNA from 1 species